rnacentral:rRNA from 2 species
UACAGAGACUGCAAGCGUUAUUCGGAUUCACUGGGCGUAAAGGGUGCGCAGGCGGCCGGGUGUGUCAGAUGUGAAAUCCCGAGGCUUAACCUCGGAACUGCGUCUGAAACUACUCGGCUAGAGUACUGGAGAGGGAAACGGAAUUCACGGUGUAGCAGUGAAAUGCGUAGAUAUCGUGAGGAACACCAGAGGCGAAGGCGGUUUCCUGGACAGUUACUGACGCUCAGGCACGAAAGCAUGGGGAGCAAAAGGG